rnacentral:rRNA from 1 species
AAGAGACUGCCGGUGUUAAGCCGGAGGAAGGUGGGAUGACGUCAAGUCCUCAUGGCCUUUAUGCCUAGGGCUACACACGUGCUACAAUGGGUGGUACAAAGAGCAGCUAACUCGCGAGAGUAUGCAAAUCUCAAAAAGCCAUCCUCAGUUCGGAUUGGAGUCUGCAACUCGACUCCAUGAAGUUGGAAUCGCUAGUAAUCGCGGAUCGGCAUGCCGCGGUGAAUACGUUCCCGGGCCUU